rnacentral:rRNA from 1 species
GAUGAACGCUGGCGGCGUGCCUAAUACAUGCAAGUCGAGCGAACGGACGAGAAGCUUGCUUCUCUGAUGUUAGCGGCGGACGGGUGAGUAACACGUGGAUAACCUACCUAUAAGACUGGGAUAACUUCGGGAAACCGGAGCUAAUACCGGAUGAUAUUUUGAACCGCAUGGUUCGAAAGUGAAAGACGGUCUUGCUGUCACUUAUAGAGGGAUCCGCGCUGCAUUAGCUAGUUGGUAAGGUAACGGCUUACCAAGGCAACGAUGCAUAGCCGACCUGAGAGGGUGAUCGGCCACACUGGAACUGAGACACGGUCCAGACUCCUACGGGAGGCAGCAGUAGGGAAUCUUCCGCAAUGGGCGAAAGCCUGACGGAGCAACGCCGCGUGAGUGAUGAAGGUCUUCGGAUCGUAAAACUCUGUUAUUAGGGAAGAACAUAUGUGUAAGUAACUGUGCACAUCUUGACGGUACCUAAUCAGAAAGCCACGGCUAACUACGUG